GGUGGUUAUAGCACGAGGGAUCCACCUCUUCCCAUUCCGAACAGAGAAGUUAAGCCUCGUCACGCCGAUGGUACUGCGUAACAGUGGGAGAGUAGGUAGCCGCCG
rnacentral:rRNA from 1 species